rnacentral:rRNA from 1 species
AUUGAACGCUGGCGGAAUGCUUUACACAUGCAAGUCGAACGGCAGCACGGGGGCAGCCCUGGUGGCGAGUGGCGAACGGGUGAGUAAUACAUCGGAACGUGCCCGGUCGUGGGGGAUAACGUAGCGAAAGUUACGCUAAUACCGCAUACGAUCUGAGGUUGAAAGCGGGGGACCUUCGGGCCUCGCGCGAUCGGAGCGGCCGAUGUCAGAUUAGGUAGUUGGUGGGGUAAAGGCCUACCAAGCCGACGAUCUGUAGCUGGUCUGAGAGGACGACCAGCCACACUGGGACUGAGACACGGCCCAGACUCCUACGGGAGGCAGCAGUGGGGAAUUUUGGACAAUGGGCGCAAGCCUGAUCCAGCCAUUCCGCGUGCAGGACGAAGGCCUUCGGGUUGUAAACUGCUUUUGUACGGAACGAAAAGGCUCUGGCUAAUACCUGGGGCUCAUGACGGUACCGUAAGAAUAAGCACCGGCUAACUACGUG